AAGGUAGCGUAAUCACUUGUCUCCUAAAUAGAGACCUGUAUGAAUGGCCUCAUGAGAAAGAAACUGUCUCUUGAAGAUAGCCAAUGAAACUGAUCUGCCUGUGCAAAAGCAGUCAUAACAAAACAAGACAAAAAGACCCUGUGAAACUUGAAAAUAAAUGUCAAAAGCAUUACAGUACUUUUUCGGUUGGGGCAACCAAAGAGAAACAAAACCUCUUUAAAAUACUAGAAUAACAAGUCUAAUUUAAUAAACGACCCAGUAAAACUGAUCAACGGACCAAGCUACUCCAGGGAUAACAGCGCUAAAUUCUUGAAGAGUCCACAUCAACAAGAACUAUUACGACCUCGAUGUUGGAUCAGGAUACCCAAGCAGUGCAAAAGCCGCCAACGGUUCGUUUGUUCA
rnacentral:rRNA from 1 species